UACGUAGGGGGCAAGCGUUGUCCGGAUUUAUUGGGCGUAAAGCGCGUGUAGGCGGCCUUACAGGUCUGCUGUGAAAACUCGAGGCUCAACCUCGAGAUGUCGGCGGAAACCGUCUGGCUGGAGUCCGGAAGAGGAGAGUGGAAUUCCUGGUGUAGAGGUGAAAUGCGCAGAUAUCAGGAAGAACACCUAUGGCGAAGGCAGCUCUCUGGGACGGAACUGACGCUGAGACGCGAAAGCGUGGGGAGCGAACAGG
rnacentral:rRNA from 1 species